GGGGAUGUAGCUCAGUGGUAGAGCAUUUGCCUCACAUGUAUAAGGUCCCGGGUUCAAUCCCCA
rnacentral:tRNA from 1 species